rnacentral:rRNA from 1 species
GAAUUCAAAGAUCCCUUCGGGGUGAUUUGUUGGACGCUAGCGGCGGAUGGGUGAGUAACACGUGGGCAAUCUGCCCUAAAGACUGGGAUACCACUUGGAAACAGGUGCUAAUACCGGAUAACAACAUGAAUCGCAUGAUUCAAGUUUGAAAGGCGGCGCAAGCUGUCACUUUAGGAUGAGCCCGCGGCGCAUUAGCUAGUUGGUGGGGUAAAGGCCUACCAAGGCAAUGAUGCGUAGCCGAGUUGAGAGACUGAUCGGCCACAUUGGGACUGAGACACGGCCCAAACUCCUACGGGAGGCAGCAGUAGGGAAUCUUCCACAAUGGACGCAAGUCUGAUGGAGCAACGCCGCGUGAGUGAAGAAGGUUUUCGGAUCGUAAAGCUCUGUUGUUGGUGAAGAAGGAUAGAGGCAGUAACUGGUCUUUAUUUGACGGUAAUCAACCAGAAAGUCACGGCUAACUACGUGCCAGCAGCCGCGGUAAUACGUAGGUGGCAAGCGUUGUCCGGAUUUAUUGGGCGUAAAGCGAGCGCAGGCGGAAUGAUAAGUCUGAUGUGAAAGCCCACGGCUCAACCGUGGAACUGCAUCGGAAACUGUCAUUCUUGAGUGCAGAAGAGGAGAGUGGAACUCCAUGUGUAGCGGUGGAAUGCGUAGAUAUAUGGAAGAACACCAGUGGCGAAGGCGGCUCUCUGGUCUGCAACUGACGCUGAGGCUCGAAAGCAUGGGUAGCGAACAGGAUUAGAUACCCUGGUAG